AUUGAACGCUGGCGGCAGGCCUAACACAUGCAAGUCGAGCGGGGUUUUCGGACCUAGCGGCGGCCGGGUGAGUAAUGCGUAGGAAGCUACCCGAUAGAGGGGGAUACCAGUUGGAAACGACUGUUAAUACCGCAUAAUGUCUACGGACCAAAGUGUGGGACCUUCGGGCCACAUGCUAUCGGAUGCGCCUACGUGGGAUUAGCUAGUUGGUGAGGUAAUGGCUCACCAAGGCGACGAUCCCUCGCUGGUUUGAGAGGAGGAUCAGCCACACUGGAGCUGAGACACGGUGCAGACGCCUACGGGAGGCGGAGGUGGGGAAUAUUGGAAAAGGGGCGCAAGCCUGAUCCAGCAAAGCCGCGUGUGGGAAGAAGGCCUUCGGGUUGUAAAGCACUUUCAGUAGGGAGGAAGGGUGUUGUGUUAAUAGCACAGCAUUUUGACGUUACCUACAGGAGAAGCACCGGCUAACUCUGUGCCAGCAGCCGCCGUAAAAC
rnacentral:rRNA from 1 species